GGGGAUUUAGCUCAGCGGUAGAGCACUUGCCUAGCAAGCACAAGGCCCUGGGUUCGGUCCCUAGCUCCG
rnacentral:tRNA from 1 species